rnacentral:rRNA from 1 species
UACGGAGGGAGGCUAGCGUUAUUCGGAAUUACUGGGCGUAAAGCGCACGUAGGCGGCUUUGUAAGUAAGAGGUGAAAGCCCAGAGCUCAACUCUGGAAUUGCCUUUUAGACUGCAUCGCUUGAAUCAUGGAGAGGUCAGUGGAAUUCCGAGUGUAGAGGUGAAAUUCGUAGAUAUUCGGAAGAACACCAGUGGCGAAGGCGGCUGACUGGACAUGUAUUGACGCUGAGGUGCAAAAGCGUGGGGAGCAAAACAGGAU